rnacentral:rRNA from 1 species
AGAGUUUGAUCCUGGCUUAGGAUGAACGCUAGCUACAGGCUUAACACAUGCAAGUCGAGGGGUAGCAGGGUCUAGCAAUAGAUCGCUGACGACCGGCGCACGGGUGAGUAACACGUAUCCAACCUUCCGUUUACUCGGGGAUAGCCUUUCGAAAGAAAGAUUAAUACCCGAUAGUAUGCUUUUCCCGCAUGGGAGAAUCAUUAAAGUUUUUCGGUAAUCGAUGGGGAUGCGUUCCAUUAGGCAGUUGGUGAGGUAACGGCUCACCAAACCUUCGAUGGAUAGGGGUUCUGAGAGGAAGGUCCCCCACAUUGGAACUGAGACACGGUCCAAACUCCUACGGGAGGCAGCAGUGAGGAAUAUUGGUCAAUGGACGAGAGUCUGAACCAGCCAAGUAAGCGUGAAGGAUGACUGCCCUAUGGGUUGUAAACUUCUUUUAUAUGGGAAUAAAGGAGCCUACGUGUAGGUUUUGUAUGUACCAUACGAAUAAGGAUCGGCUAACUCCGUGCCAGCCGCCGC